AUGUAUGUAUGUAUGUAUGUAUGUAUGUAUGUAUGUAUGUAUGUAUGUAUGUAUGUAUCUAUCUAUCUAUCUAUCUAUCUAUCUAUCUAUCUAUCUAUCUAUCUAUCUGCCUAUCUGCCUAUCUGCCUAUCUAUCUGCCUGUCUAUCUGCCUGUCUAUCUGCCUGUCUAUCUGCCUAUCUAUCUGCCUGUCUAUCUGCCUGUCUAUCUGCCUAUCUAUCUAUCUAUCUAUCUAUCUAUCUAUCUAUCUAUCUAUCUAUCUAUCUAUCUAUCUAUCUAUCUGCCUAUCUGCCUAUCUGCCUAUCUAUCUAUCUAUCUAUCUAUCUGCCUAUCUGCCUAUCUGCCUAUCUGCCUAUCUGCCUAUCUGCCUAUCUAGCUGCCUAUCUAGCUGCCUAUCUGCCUAUCUGCCUAUCUAUCUAUCUAUCUAUCUAUCUAUCUAUCUAUCUAUCUAUCUAUCUAUCUAUCUAUCUAUCUGCCUAUCUGCCUAUCUGCCUAUCUAUCUGCCUGUCUAUCUGCCUGUCUAUCUGCCUGUCUAUCUGCCUAUCUAUCUGUCUGUCUGUCUGUCUGUCUCUCUCUCAUCACUUAUUUCCAUACCAAGGAAUCUCAUGAGUGCCACUUGGCACAGAGCUGGGGUGGAUUGUAGUAGGCCAGUGGAGAAAAGAAGAUGCUGUUCCAUAUAUAGAAUUCCUUUUCACAGGUUUUCUGAUACAUUCUCUCACAAUUGUUAGUUUGCUCCAGAAGCAAAGAGUAAGUUCCUUAUGUCAGCGCCAGGCCAUUUUCUCUUCCUCCCUUCUUCCUUCUCUCCCUCCCUCCCUGUAAGAAUGUUUUCUCUGGCCCUUAUUUUCCAUUCUCCAAAAGAAGGGAAUGGGCAGAUGUCCUACAGAGGAUCUGGUUAUGAUUCUCUGGAUGAAAAUGGAGUAAAAGGAAAAGUUAGUCCCUUCCUGCUUCAAAUAUAUUUUCUUCACAGGAUCCUGAAAUAUGCCUCCUUUCCUCAGGCUUUCUACUCCUCCUUUUCCCUCUCUCCCUGUCUUUCUGUUUUUCCUUUAUGUCUUCCCCUUCCCUUCUCUCCUCCUCCCUCUCUUUCUCUCUCUACUCUCUCCUUUUUCCUAAUUUCUCCCUUUGCCCUUCAUUUUUCUUCUUGUUUGAUGAAUGCUGUUUUUUGAACUUUACUGUCACAUCUCUGCAAUCUCUCUCUGCAAGGCAAUAUCCCUUGAAACACAGGAGCCCAGCCAAACAGUACAAUUGAGUACACUGCCAAUGUCUGACAAGGUAUGUCUUGUUCUUUACCUAUAGUCUACCACCUCUCUUCCAACAGAGAGCAUGUUCUAUUCUCAUUGCUUUCUCAGGUCUCACUUGUUCCCAGAAGAGGAAGUUUUUCAGUCAUUUUUUCUCAUUAUAAUCAUUGUGGACAUUAUUCUCUCAACCCUACUCAUUUUCUUCUGUAUCAGGUAAUAUACAUCUUCUCAAACUUCUCUGAAUUCUUCCCAUUUAUUAGUGUACAAACAUUCCAUUCUUUAAAAAUUUAAAUUUAUUUAUUACAUUAAAAUACUCAGGCAAUUCCCUUCCUCAUUCCCUUACCCUCAUUAGAAAAGGCAUCUUUGGACAAAAGGAUCUCUAUGUCUUUUUUCUGUUGAGCAGUUCUUUCUCUGGAGGUGCACAUAUGCAAGUCAUUCCUCAAACAAUAUGUCGUUUUUCCUAACUUCACGUAGGUUGAUGUUCCAGGGAUCUUUAUUUCUUAUGAUGUAGUAAUAUUCCAUCACAAUCAUACGCCACAGCUUAUUGUUGCAUUUAUGUGGUAAUUGGUAUGGAUAUUCCCCAGUGGAAGUGGUACCACUUUCCUUCCAAUUCUUAAAAAAUCAAUUCUUUCUACAAGGAUGAUAAAUGUUCUGUCACCAUUUUCUUGAUAAUGCUAGUAGGCAUCUUUAUGGUAAUUCAGCUGCUUUCUGCCUAUCCGCUCAGACAAUAGUCAUCUGCUCCUUCCAUAUCCAGCUUACUGAUCUGGUGCCCAAGUCCCUUCACAGUUAUACCAGUCGCUAGAUUCUGCCAAGGAUGCAGCUGUCUUUUCCUUACAUCCUCUUCUUCCCACUAUCCUUGUAUCUACCCUCAUGAAAUUCCCAGAAAAGAAACUUAUAGCCUUUGGGGCACUGGCAAGUGGGUGUUGUUAAGAUUCUUCCCCAGACUUGAAUCUGCUCCAGCUGCUGUCAUUUUGGAGGGCCUUCUUUUCCACCCCUUUCCCCUUCUCUGCUGAUUUGCCAUCUUUUACUUUUUCCAAUAUCAACCUCACAGUCAUGCAGUGGUACUCAAGAGCAUCUCUAGCUCAGUUCAGCUACACAGAAUUCAUUAUAUUCAUUCUAUCAUUACAAUUAUGGCCUCCUUUUCUCUACCAUUUUCCUUAAAGGCCAGCAAUCCUUUUUUCCAUGGAUAUUUUCUUAUCUGGACAGUAAAACAAGGUGGUAGUCUGAACCCCACUAAAUAAACAUUAGGAUAUUGCUUAACA
rnacentral:lncRNA from 1 species